rnacentral:rRNA from 1 species
GUUGUAUGGUUAAGUGACUAAGCGUACACGGUGGAUGCCUGGGCAGUCAGAGGCGAUGAAGGACGUACUAACUUGCGAUAAGCGCAGAUAAGGCAGUAAGAGCCGUUUGAGUCUGCGAUUUCCGAAUGGGGAAACCCAACUGCAUAAGCAGUUACUGUUAACUGAAUACAUAGGUUAACAGAGCAAACCGGGGGAACUGAAACAUCUAAGUACCCCGAGGAGAAGAAAUCAACCGAGAUUCCGGUAGUAGCGGCGAGCGAACCUGGAUUAGCCCUUAAGCACUCGGUGAAGUAGGUGAACAAGCUGGAAAGCUUGGCGAUACAGGGUGAUAGCCCCGUAACCGACGCUUCAUCGAGCGUGAAAUCGAGUAGGGCGGGACACGUGAUAUCCUGUCUGAAUAUGGGGGGACCAUCCUCCAAGGCUAAAUACUCCUGACUGACCGAUAGUGAACCAGUACCGUGAGGGAAAGGCGAAAAGAACCCCUGUGAGGGGAGUGAAAUAGAACCUGAAACCGUGUACGUACAAGCAGUAGGAGCACCUUCGUGGUGUGACUGCGUACCUUUUGUAUAAUGGGUCAGCGACUUAUAUUCAGUGGCAAGGUUAACCGUAUAGGGGAGCCGUAGCGAAAGCGAGUCUUAACUGGGCGCUCAGUCUCUGGAUAUAGACCCGAAACCGGGUGAUCUAGCCAUGGGCAGGUUGAAGGUUGAGUAACAUCAACUGGAGGACCGAACCGACUAAUGUUGAAAAAUUAGCGGAUGACUUGUGGCUAGGGGUGAAAGGCCAAUCAAACUCGGAGAUAGCUGGUUCUCCCCGAAAGCUAUUUAGGUAGCGCCUCGGACGAAUACUACUGGGGGUAGAGCACUGUUAAGGCUAGGGGGUCAUCCCGACUUACCAACCCUUUGCAAACUCCGAAUACCAGUAAGUACUAUCCGGGAGACACACGGCGGGUGCUAACGUCCGUCGUGGAGAGGGAAACAACCCAGACCGCCAGCUAAGGUCCCAAAGUAUUGCUAAGUGGGAAACGAUGUGGGAAGGCUCAGACAGCUAGGAUGUUGGCUUAGAAGCAGCCAUCAUUUAAAGAAAGCGUAAUAGCUCACUAGUCGAGUCGGCCUGCGCGGAAGAUGUAACGGGGCUAAGCAAUACACCGAAGCUG